UACAGAGGGGGCAAGCGUUGUUCGGAAUUACUGGGCGUAAAGGGCGCGUAGGCGGCCUGCUAAGUCGAACGUGAAAUCCCUGGGCUCAACCCAGGAACUGCGUCCGAUACUGGUUGGCUUGAAUCCGGGAGAGGGAUGCGGAAUUCCAGGUGUAGCGGUGAAAUGCGUAGAUAUCUGGAGGAACACCGGUGGCGAAGGCGGCAUCCUGGACUGGCAUUGACGCUGAGGCGCGAAAGCCAGGGGAGCAAACGGG
rnacentral:rRNA from 1 species